AAUUCGACAUAAAAAUAAAUAAACAGCAAAAGUAGAGAUAGGUAGGACUAUACAUGCAAAAAACAGAAUGUUUUUGUUUGUAUAUGUUGAAAAUAUUGAUUAUUGGAUUGUGUCUCAGGUGUUGGAAAUAGGAAUUGUGGUCCAUUCGGUGAUAAUUGGAUUACCACUGGGAACUGCAGGGAGCAUUGAUACCAUAAGACCUCUUCUGGUGGCCUUGUCUUUCCAUCAAUUUUUUGAGGGGAUGGGUCUCGGUGGUUGCAUGUCUCAGGUAUUGCAAUUUGCUUCAUAAAUCUUACAUCCUCCUUACAAAAUGAUUAAGACCCUUAUUAAAGUUUCUGUUUUGUAAAUAUUUAAUGUUUUAGUUUUUUUGUUGGGAUCUUUCAUAAACUCGUUCUUCCUUUCUCUCCUGAACUCUAUAUAUAUAUAUAUAUAGAUAGAGUUGCUCUCGGUUGUUUUGUAACAUAAGAAUAUCAAAAACAUUUUACUGAAUAAAAGACGUGAGCUUUGUUUUCUUACCUUGCCGAUUUGCAUCUUCUUCGAUCUGCUUCCUUUUCCGUUUUCCUCCACCCAUUGACGUUUUUCUGCAAACAAGCUUUACACUUUCCUUCUCUAAACUUCCAGAUCGGUCUUUUACUUUUCAUUUCUCUGUGCUGAUACCAGACUGCCUCAGGGCAGUGUUUUACCAGAAGAUAUUUUCAUCUUUUGUUGGCUCACGGACUGGGCCUUGUUUCAAGACAUUGGGCCUAUUUUAAUAUGGCAUCAGAGCAGGCGAUGAAUCGAUAUUUUAUCAACUUCACUUAGUUUAUUGUGCUAGAAUUAAUCAGGGAAUUGUGCUUAAUUGUCUAGUAUUUUCCCGUUUUUCCUAAAUAUGCUUAAUUUGACCGGAAAUUCUAAUUUUAAUUAAUUUGAAUUUUCUGAGCUAAUUAUUUGCAUUAUUAUUUGCAGGGAAAAUUUUGGAAACACAAUUUGGGACAUUUGGAGGACAUCAAAUAAAUUCAAGACUCUCCAAUUAGAGAUUUUAAAUUUUAGUUAUAUUGUAUUUUUAUUGUUUAAACUUUUUGGACAAACUUUUGUACAAUGGGCCAAUUUUUGGUAAAAUAGUUUAGGCCCAAAAUAUUAAAAUAGAUGACACAUGGCACCUAGGGUUUUGCAAAGAAGGUGGACCCCACCUCAAUUUUAGGACACUUGGUCCUAGGAUAGAAGCCAGCCGUCACAUAAAAAAAAAAGAAGGAGAAGGAAAGUGGCUGCAACGUUGGAGUAAGGCUUUCGGCAUUUUUCAUUUCUUGGCUAGAACAUAUUUUUGGGAAAAAGCUGGAACAUGGGUUUCAUUGUAUUGGGAAUUGGAUAAUUGAUGAGAAAGCAAUUUUUUUUUUUACCUCUUCAUUUGCUACUGCUACCACCCAAGGAUUCAUUUUAAUUUUACAAAGGCACAUGGUGAUAACGCUGCAAUGGGGAGUUCCAGGAGAAUGUAGAAGCUGAAUGACGCUGCCCUUUUUAUUUCUCAAUUCACGCAUCUUUCUUUUUAUUUUAUUAUUAAGGUUUUAUUGCAACAUUUUAUGGGCAUUUUAUUUGCAUAAGCAUGCUGAGUUUAAUUAGAAAAAAUGGUG
rnacentral:lncRNA from 1 species